CUCAGAGAUGCAGCUUGUGAGAGAUCCAACAGAACCGGCCGAAAGAAACAACAAACCCCGAAAUCAGAGCAGGUGAAGGAGAAAAUGGCCGCCACAAAGAGGUACAUGUGCAUUCAAGAGCUCAGUGACUGUGACAAAAUGACAUUUUCUCAUCAAGCAGAGCGUUGUGUGGAUUGCUGGACGGGCCAGAGACGUGAUUGUCUUAUUGGAUAAUAAAACGAUGGCAAAGAGCAGGGACUCGAAGCGACUACAAAGCAAACAAAGAGGCAUUAAAAAACGGUGGCCAUAAAAGUUCCAGCCAGACAACAAUGCCUGUUCAAAUGCAGAAGCGACCCUUCAUCACAAUAUUCACGCUGCAUCCACACGUGUUCCUGUGCCGUGACGGGUUUCCAUCACUUUGCUCCUGCUGUCAUAUCGCGAGACUUCUUUUGCUUCUGAG
ensembl:lncRNA